rnacentral:rRNA from 1 species
UAGGGAAUUUUCGGCAAUGGGCGAAAGCCUGACCGAGCAAUGCCGCGUGAAUGAAGAAGGUCUUCGGAUUGUAAAGUUCUUUUGCAAGGGAAGAAAAGGCUGUGAAGAGCAGCGAAUUGACGGUACCUUGAGAAUAAGCCACGGCUAACUACGUGCCAGCAGCCGCGGUAAUACGUAGGUGGCGAGCGUUAUCCGGAAUUAUUGGGCGUAAAGCGUGAGUAGGCGGUAAUAUAAGUCUAAAGUGAAAGGCUGUGGCUUAACCAUAGUAUGCUUUAGAAACUGUAUAACUAGAGUGCGGGAGAGGUUAAUGGAAUUCCAUGUGUAGCGGUGAAAUGCGUAGAUAUAUGGAGGAACACCAGUGGCGAAGGCGGUUAACUGGCCCGAAACUGACGCUGAGUCACGAAAGCGUGGGGAGCAAAUAGGA